rnacentral:sRNA from 12 species
AGGCCACGUCCGAACUGUCCCCUUCAUGGGGUGCGUGCUCCGCAAGAGCUAGGACGUGGUCUUUAU